rnacentral:rRNA from 1 species
AUUGAACGCUGGCGGCAUGCCUAACACAUGCAAGUCGAGCGGCAGAAGGGGGCUUGCCCCUUGGUGCCGAGGGGGGCAGGUGAGUGAAGUAUAGGGAAAUGCGUGCUAGUGUGGGGUAACGCCCGGAGAAGGGCGCUAUUAUAGCACACAUGCUGAGGGGGAAAGAGGGGGGGCCUCUGACCUCUCGCGCUAUGAGGAUGCUAGGUCGGAUUAGCUAGUUGGUGGGGUAAAGGCCUACCAAGGCGACGAUCCGUAACUGGUCUGAGAGGAUGAGCAGCCACACUGGAACUGAGACACGGUCCAGACUCCUACGGGAGGCAGCAGUGGGGAAUAUUGGACAAUGGGCGAAAGCCUGAUCCAGCCAUGCCGCGUGUGUGAAGAAGGUCUUCGGGUUGUAAAGCACUUUUAGUUGGGAGGAAGGGCAGGACGUUAAUACCUUGCUGUUUUGACGUUACCAGCAGAAUAAGCACCGGCUAACUUCGUG